UACGUAGGGCGCAAGCGUUGUCCGGAAUUAUUGGGCGUAAAGAGCUCGUAGGCGGUUUGUCGCGUCUGCUGUGAAAACCUAAGGCUCAACCUUGGGCUUGCAGUGGGUACGGGCAGACUAGAGUGCGGUAGGGGUGACUGGAAUUCCUGGUGUAGCGGUGGAAUGCGCAGAUAUCAGGAGGAACACCGGUGGCGAAGGCGGGUCUCUGGGCAGUAACUGACGCUGAGGAGCGAAAGCGUGGGGAGCAAACAGG
rnacentral:rRNA from 1 species